rnacentral:rRNA from 1 species
UAGCUAGUUGGUGAGGUAACGGCUUACCAAGGCGACGAUCUGUAGCGGGUCUGAGAGGAUGAUCCGCCACACUGGAACUGAGACACGGUCCAGACUCCUACGGGAGGCAGCAGUGGGGAAUUUUGGACAAUGGGGGCAACCCUGAUCCAGCCAUGCCGCGUGAGUGAAGAAGGCCUUCGGGUUGUAAAGCUCUUUCGGCCGGGAAGAAAUCGCAUGGGCCAAUACCCUGUGUGGAUGACGGUACCGGAAUAAGAACCACCGGCUAACUACGUGCCAGCAGCCGCGGUAAUACGUAGGGUGCGAGCGUUAAUCGGAAUUACUGGGCGUAAAGCGUGCGCAGGCGGUUUUGUAAGACAGGCGUGAAAUCCCCGGGCUCAACCUGGGAACUGCGUUUGUGACUGCAAGGCUAGAGUACGGCAGAGGGGGGUGGAAUUCCACGUGUAGCAGUGAAAUGCGUAGAGAUGUGGAGGAACACCAAUGGCAAGGCAGCCCCCUGGGUCGAUACUGACGCUCAUGCACGAAAGCGUGGGUAGCAAACAGGAUUAGAUACCCUGGUAGUCCACGCCCUAAACUAUGUCAACUAGGUGUUGGGUGGGUAAAACCAUUUAGUACCGUAGCUAACGCGUGAAGUUGACCGCCUGGGGAGUACGGCCGCAAGGCUAAAACUCAAAGGAAUUGACGGGGACCCGCACAAGCGGUGGAUGAUGUGGAUUAAUUCGAUGCAACGCGAAAAACCUUACCUACCCUUGACAUGCCAGGAACUUGCCAGAGAUGGCUUGGUGCCCGAAAGGGAGCCUGGACACAGGUGCUGCAUGGCUGUCGUCAGCUCGUGUCGUGAGAUGUUGGGUUAAGUCCCGCAACGAGCGCAACCCUUGUCGUUAAUUGCCAUCAUUUAGUUGGGCACUUUAGCGAGACUGCCGGUGACAAACCGGAGGAAGGUGGGGAUGACGUCAAGUCCUCAUGGCCCUUAUGGGUAGGGCUUCACACGUCAUACAAUGGUCGGUACAAAGGGUCGCCAAGCCGCGAGGUGGAGCCAACCCCAGAAAGCCGAUCGUAGUCCGGAUUGCAGGCUGCAACUCGCCUGCACGAAGUCGGAAUCGCUAGUAAUCGUGGAUCAGCAUGUCACGGUGAAUACGUUCCCGGGUCUUGUACACACCGCCCGUCACACCAUGGGAGCGGGUUCCGCCAGAAGUAGGUAGCCUAACCGCAAGGAGGGCGCUUACCACGGCGGGGUUCGUGACUGGGGUGAAGUCGUAACAAGGUAGCCGUAGGGGACCUGCGGCUG